UACGUAGGGUGCAAGCGUUGCCCGGAUUUAUUGGGCGUAAAGGGCGCGUAGGCGGCUCUGCACGUUCGUUGUGAAAUCGCCCGGCUCAACUGGGCGGGGUCAGCGGAUACGGCAGAGCUUGAGCAAGCUAGGGGGCAAUGGAAUUCCCGGUGUAGUGGUGGAAUGCGUAGAUAUCCGGAAGAACACCAGUGGCGAAGGCGGCCCGCUGGGCAGUGGCUGACGCUGAGGCGCGACAGCGUGGGGAGCAAACAGG
rnacentral:rRNA from 1 species